CCUACGGGAGGCAGCAGUGAGGAAUAUUGGUCAAUGGACGCAAGUCUGAACCAGCCAUGCCGCGUGCAGGAAGACGGCGCUAUGAGUUGUAAACUGCUUUUGUACGAGGGAAAACGCAGAUACGCGUAUCUGUCUGAAAGUAACGUACGAAUAAGGAGCGGCUAACUCCGUGCACGCAGCCGCGGUAAUACGGAGGAUUCAAGCGUUAUCCGGGUUUAUUGGGUUUACCGGGUGCGUAGGCGGUCGGAUAAGGUAGAGGGGAAAUCCCGAGGCUCCACUUCGGAAUUGCCUCUGAUACUGUUCGGCUAGAGCGUAGUUGCGGUAGGCGGAAUGUCUGGUGUAGCGG
rnacentral:rRNA from 1 species